UAAUGAAAGCAGGGAGAGUAAAAGGAGGUCAUGACCCCAGAUUUGUCUGGCAUCCAGGCCACGGAGUGCAUUCCUCAGAGACAAGCCCAGCCGAGCGGUCUGCAUUCUACCCCGGGCCCCAUAAAUGCAGAGAGGAAGAUCCGAAGUCAGAUGUGAACAAUGGGCCUGCCUUGAGUCGUUAGCCUCCGCUGGGAAAUGACUGGAAAAGAUUUCAGAAUGAAGAAGCUCACUCUGGAAGGGACACGGAGAGCUUCGGUUUGAGCCGGGGGUGUUCUAUGAAGGAGGGAAUCGCAAGUCCAUCUCCGGAACAGAAAUCACAUGAUCCUCGAGAGGGGACUAUGAGGAAAACUGCAGCCAGUGAGAUGGGACAGGAGCAUGCAGCGGGAACCUGGAGGCAGGAGCUGAUGCAGAGACUGUGGAGGAGUUCUGCUUACUGGCUUACUCUCCAUGACUUGCUCAGCCUGCUUUUUGGAUACAGCCCAGGCCCACCCUCCCAGCCCUUCUGCAUCUGAUAGCAAAUAGAAAAGCUACCUCAUGAACUAAUCUGAUUGUGGUAAUUCCUGAACUGAUGUCUCUGCCUAGGUGACUGACUCCACUUUGUAUCUAGCUGACAAAACUAACCACCAGCACAGCAUGUAACACAGUAUCUGACUUUGAAGAUCAGAAGGGUUGGGUCAGGAAGCCAUAAUAGAUCCACCUGAAUAUCAAGCUGGGCAGCUCUUGGCCAUACUCCCUGAGGACUCUUCAUCCUAUUACAGAGAUUCUUGCUCAGUUGUGUUCACUGCUGCUCUGCUCAUAAUAGAAGUUGGAAAUGCCCAUCAAAUGGCUAUGAAAAUAUGAGGCUCAGUCCAGAAUCAUCACGGUGGGAAACAUGGCAGUGUGCAAGAAGACAUGGUGCUGGAGAAGGAGCUGAGAGUUUUACAUCUUGAUCUGAAGAAAGUCAGAAGGAAUGUCUAUCAUCUACACUGGGCUGAGCCUGAGUGUAGGAGGAGGCCUCAAAGCUCACCCUCACAGUGAGUGACACACUUACUCCAGCAAGUCCACACCUACUCCAACAAAGCCACACCUCCUAAAAGUGCCACUCCCUAUGGGCCAAGCAUUCAAACACAUGGGUCAUUGGGGGCCAUUCCUAUUCAAACCACCAUAGACAACUACACUAAAGGCCAUUGGAAAAUGGAAAAUGGGGGUAUCUCUGACAGUAGUAGAUAUGGAAAUCUACUAUUGUAGAACCUUCCUAAAAUAUAUACAUAUAUGAAAGGAACCUGAAUGGAGUCACCAAAUAGGAUGGGAGAAUUGCCUGACCUAGACAUCUUAUGCCACAAAAUAAAACCUUCUCCCAUGUCGAAAUGAGUUGCAUCCUGUUGAGUCUUUGGUCAAAGGGGUCCCAUGGAAAUUCACAAACAUUACAGGCUAAUCUUUACUCUUCACACCUAUGAUAGGGCCCCAUUGCUGAAGACAGCACGUAUGUCACCAGACAUAGAAAAGUCAAGAUGGCGCAUAACUAGAAGCUUCACCCUUACUGGCUCUGGAACCCUUGUGGUACUAGAAGGUUCAUUAUAUGCUAUCAGAGGAGAAAAGUAAUCACUAAUGUCUACCAGCUAUGAACCCGGUAACCUACAACACUGAGCUGCCUGGAGAUUUACUGGUGCAGUAGUGACUCAAAGGCUAUGGGGGUAUCCACCUACUUUCUGGUUAGAUUUAAGCCCACUCCAUAAGAUAGAACCUAUAUCUGACAAUGUGAAGAUGGCCAAGAACCAAAGGCAUUGGAUCCCCUCAAACUGGAGCUACAGAUGGGAGAAAGCCACCUGAUAGG
rnacentral:lncRNA from 1 species